AGCGAACGUUAGCGGCGGGCCUAACACAUGCAAGUCGUACGAGAAAGUAGACUUCGGUCUGCGAGUACAGUGGCGGACGGGUGAGUAACACGUGGGUAAUUUGCCCUUCGGCGGGGGAUAACAGUCCGAAAGGACUGCUAAUACCGCAUACGUCGACGGAGACUUCGGUUUCUGUCGGGAUAGCGUGCCUCUAUUUAUAAGCACGCGCCGAGGGAGAAGCCCGCGUCGCAUCAGCUUGUUGGUGAGGUAAUGGCUCACCAAGGCUAAGACGCGUAGCUGGUCUGAGAGGAUGAUCAGCCACACUGGGACUGAGACACGGCCCAGACACCUACGGGUGGCAG
rnacentral:rRNA from 1 species